GACGAACGCUGGCGGCGUGCCUAAUACAUGCAAGUAGAACGCUGAAGAGGGGAGCUUGCUCUUCUUGGAUGAGUUGCGAACGGGUGAGUAACGCGUAGGUAACCUGCCUUGUAGCGGGGGAUAACUAUUGGAAACGAUAGCUAAUACCGCAUAACAAUGGAUGACACAUGUCAUUUAUUUGAAAGGGGCAAUUGCUCCACUACAAGAUGGACCUGCGUUGUAUUAGCUAGUAGGUGAGGUAAUGGCUCACCUAGGCGACGAUACAUAGCCGACCUGAGAGGGUGAUCGGCCACACUGGGACUGAGACACGGCCCAGACUCCUACGGGAGGCAGCAGUAGGGAAUCUUCGGCAAUGGGGGCAACCCUGACCGAGCAACGCCGCGUGAGUGAAGAAGGUUUUCGGAUCGUAAAGCUCUGUUGUAAGUCAAGAACGGGUGUGAGAGUGGAAAGUUCACACUGUGACGGUAGCUUACCAGAAAGGGACGGCUAACUACGU
rnacentral:rRNA from 1 species